GCAUCAAUGGGGUAACGGUAACCCGAGUCGUUAUGUGUCCCCUGAUGAGGUCAAAUACUUGUGACUCGACUAGCUGUGGGUUCGACUCCCUCUUGAUGCA